UUCUUUACCAAGAGGGUGGUCAAACACCUGGAACAGGCUUCCUAGAGAGGUGGUCGAUGCCCCAUGCCUGUCAGUGUUUAAGAGGCAUUUGGACAAAGCCCUUAACAUGCUUUAACUUCUGGUCAUCCCUGAAGUGGAUAG